UACGGAGGGUGCAAGCGUUAUCCGGAUUCACUGGGUUUAAAGGGUGCGUAGGCGGGUUGGUAAGUCAGUGGUGAAAUCUCCGAGCUUAACUUGGAAACUGCCAUUGAUACUAUCAGUCUUGAAUAUUGUGGAGGUCAGCGGAAUAUGUCAUGUAGCGGUGAAAUGCUUAGAUAUGACAUAGAACACCAAUUGCGAAGGCAGCUAGCUAGACCGACAUUGACGCUGAGGCACGAAAGCGUGGGGAUCAAACAGG
rnacentral:rRNA from 1 species